rnacentral:rRNA from 2 species
UACGGAGGGUGCGAGCGUUGUCCGGAAUCACUGGGCGUAAAGGGCGCGUAGGUGGCGCCGCAAGUCAACGGUGAAAGCUCGACGCUUAACGUCGAGUCGGCCGUCGAGACUGCGGGGCUCGAGCACUGUAGAGGCUCAUGGAAUUCCGGGUGUAGCGGUGGAAUGCGUAGAGAUCCGGAAGAACACCGGUGGCGAAGGCGGUGAGCUGGGCAGUUGCUGACACUGAGGCGCGACAGCGUGGGGAGCAAACAGG